UAGAUGAGGUGUCCGCUAGUUCCCUUUCAGUUGAAAUGCGGCUCCUCUUGAGCAUUAUCUCUAGGACCCUUUUUCCUAAGACCGGCCGCUUCGAUUUUGUAUCUGAGAGGGACCUAGCCCUCAUGUAUUACAUUCUCCAGGACACCCCAAUUAACUUUCCCAAACUAAUCUACAAAUACCUAUGUGAGCCACUAGACAGACCUAGG
rnacentral:lncRNA from 1 species